CACAUCUGAGAGCGCAUGUGGAGUGUGUAAUCUGAAGGAUUAAAGAAAUAAGCUGUUUUACUUUAUCAAUUGCUGGACGCAUUAAUGAAUCUUUUACAGUGACUUGCCUAAUUACGGGAUAGGGCUGAUACAAGUGCAGACUUGGCCCUGUACAAGCUUAACUACCAGCAUCUUUGCAUGUGGACCUGGUUUUAUACCCUGUGAAGUUGAGAACUAUAGAUCCAGAGUAAAGGUGUAAACUGGAGGAACCACUGGCACACUGAGCUGGGAGAAGUGGGCUGUCUGGAAUAGCAAAACAACUGCAUGGUUGCCAUGUGCAAGUCACAGAAGAGCACCUGCACAUCAUCAUAAUUACAGGAACUGCAUUGUGGAGGACUACCUGGGGA